rnacentral:rRNA from 1 species
GACGAACCGUGCGAACGUUAUUCGGAAUCACUGGGCUUAAAGGGCGCGUAGGCGGGCGGCCAAGUCAGAGGUGAAAGCCCCCAGCUCAACUGGGGAAGUGCCUUUGAUACUGGUCGUCUCGAGGGAGAUAGGGGGCGUGCGGAACUUCCGGUGGAGCGGUGGAAAUGCGUAGAUAUCGGAAGGAACACCGGUGGCGAAAGCGGCGCGCUGGAUCUCUUCUGACGCUGAGGCGCGAAAGCCAGGGGAGCGAACGGGG